rnacentral:rRNA from 1 species
GACGAACGCUGGCGGCGUGCCUAAUACAUGCAAGUUGAGCGAUGAAGAUUGGUGCUUACACCAAUUUGAAGAGCAGCGAACGGGUGAGUAACGCGUGGGGAAUCUGCCUUUGAGCGGGGGACAACAUUUGGAAACGAAUGCUAAUACCGCAUAACAACUUUAAACAUAAGUUUUAAGUUUGAAAGAUGCAAUUGCAUCACUCAAAGAUGAUCCCGCGUUGUAUUAGCUAGUUGGUGAGGUAAAGGCUCACCAAGGCGAUGAUACAUAGCCGACCUGAGAGGGUGAUCGGCCACAUUGGGACUGAGACACGGCCCAAACUCCUACGGGAGGCAGCAGUAGGGAAUCUUCGGCAAUGGACGAAAGUCUGACCGAGCAACGCCGCGUGAGUGAAGAAGGUUUUCGGAUCGUAAAACUCUGUUGGUAGAGAAGAACGUUGGUGAGAGUGGAAAGCUCAUCAAGUGACGGUAACUACCCAGAAAGGGACGGCUAACUACGUG